AAGUCGUAACAAGGUUUCCGUAGGUGAACCUGCGGAAGGAUCAUUACCAAAAAAUCCAAUACCAACCCCUUUUUGUGAAUACUUUGAAUGUACUUGGGAGAGCUUUGGAUCUCUCAAAGUUUUUAUUUUUCUUUAAACUUUGACUGCCUUCUCUCCCACGUUUAUUAACCUUAAAACACCUUUCAUGGGUUAACUAUAUAAUAGUAAUUUCAUACUAAAAAAAUAAAAAAAUUUAAAAGUUAAACAACUUUUAACGGUGGAUCUCUUGGCUCGU
rnacentral:misc_RNA from 1 species